rnacentral:rRNA from 1 species
GACCCAUGUUCAACGGCNGCGGUNUCNUAACCACGCGAAGGUAGCAUAAUCAAUUGUCUCCUAAAUAGAGACUUGUAUGAAUGGCAUCACGAGGAUUUAACUGUCUCCCCUCUCUAAUCUGUGAAACUAAUCCCCCUGUGAAAAAGCAGGACUGUCCCCAUAAGACGAGAAGACCCUGUGGAACUUUAAACACAUAGCAGCUGCUCCCCUCCACCCCA